rnacentral:ncRNA from 18 species
AGGCAGUGUAGUUAGCUGAUUGU